rnacentral:lncRNA from 1 species
CAGGAGACAGAGAAAGAAAAAAACAGUGGAUUUCCUCCUCUCUCUCCAUUCCUCAGGGGCCCCUUUCCUGGUCUUGUGACCAUAGAGGGAUGGUUUCUCCUGGGCACUUCUCCCUAUAUGCCUGCUGAGCAGUUCUGGGAUUUGGGUGUCCUGAGUCUAAGCUGGGAGAUGUGGGAGGAAAGAAAAGCUGGUGAACUCAUUGCCACCUCCAUGUUUCUCUGAAUGUUAUCUCUCUCUCCAUCUGCUUGCCGUGGUUUUCUUUCUAGACACCUCUGAUGAUUGCUGCAUGUAUUCUGCCCAGGGUUUUUGGCUGUGAUCACUGGGAGAGAUAGAAGGGACUGUAUUUGCUCCAUCUUACCCAGCUCUGCAAACCUGCUGGAGAGUUUAAUUGGCAUAUGACUUCUAUCCUCAAAGUCACAAGAUGGCUGCUGGAGUUCCAGUCAGGAUGUCUGUACAGAACAUCUGUCCAGUCCCUGGGAUGGUGAGGCUAUAACCACAAAGGAAUAAGAGAAGACGACUAGUUUUGUAAUGGGCACAGUGGAUUGAAGAGGGGGGCAGUGCUGAGUCAUUCACGUGGUGUGUGAGGGCUCCUGUUUGUAAAUCAGGGAUUCUUGCAGCCUGCUUUUUCAGGGACAUUGGCUGCUGUCUUCUGACCCACCCUGUGUGGCUUUGGCGUCUCCUGUGACCUCCCAGUAUGGGUCUUGGCCUCAUCCUGCCUCUUUGUCUUUCUGGCCCACCACCCACAGCUUGAAUCUCAGGCUCCAACAGUUGCCUGACCCCCAGAUUCUGAUGACAGCCUACCUACUUGUUCUUCAGGCCCUCACCAGACUCACUGCCCAGACACACCACACAGGAGAACAUGAAAGGGUGAAUGAAUCUUUCAUCAUUUGAUGACCAAGUUGGCAUUCUUUUACAUUCCAGCCACCAGAGGAAGGUGUAUUUUAACACAAUUGCCCUCACAUCCUCCUUAACAGGAUUUACAUAAGUUUAUUAACACAUAUGUUUCUACAAAAUCAAGUUUUGAGAACCAUUUUUAUACACUGAUCUGGGACAUUUUGGGGAUAUGAAAUUAACUUUAGCACACACAGCAAGAAGAAAACCGAACAACAAAUUCUACAAACACCAAAUUUGCUGUGAAAUUUACAUUUCAGAAUCUCUCAAGAAAUAGUGCCCAGCAGCAAUUCUUACUGUUUUCACUUUUUCCCCCGUCUUCACAUUUUUAUGUUUGACAGUGCCAACAUAUUUUCUCAACAUUUAUUCUGAAAGGAAUGUACUUUGUGAAUUCCUUAAAUGCAGGAUGAUUCUGAUUUUAUUGGCCUAAUAGCUCCUCCUUAUGCGUGGGUUAGUAUAACAGAAUGCAUUUGAGACCUGCUAUACUAUUUUAAAUUAAGACAUUUCAUGUAGCACAUAGUAUUUUAAAAUGAAGAACAUUGUCUUGGAAAGCACACAGGCUAACUGCUAUUUUCUUGAUGCAAGAAAUAUUUAAAUUCUCUGUGCUUCAGUCUAUACAAUCAGUUUUCCAGGGAUGCUGUGUAUAUAAAACGAGGGAGUGUAUUAAGAGUAUCAGCAUGUAGUAGGUCCUUCAACAGAAGCUGGAGGUUCUGGCUCAAGGUCUGGCUUGUGUUCAAUGAACACCAAACCACAUAAUUGCCC